CCGAGUUUACAACUCCCUAACCCAUGUGAACAUACCUAUCGUUGCUUCGGCGGGACUGCCCCGACGCCCCCUCGGGGGCCCGGACCCAGGCGCCCGCCGGGGGACCCAAACCUCUUGUUUUAUGAACGUUUCUUCUGAGUAACACAAGCAAAUAAAUUA
rnacentral:misc_RNA from 1 species